ensembl:lncRNA
GACAGGGCGUGAUUACAAUUAAAUAUACGCUUCUCUAUUACGACUUCUGGAUUGCCCACGCUAGAGUUCUUAUUCAACAACCUUCGAAUUACUUCAGGUUAUUUAAAUCAUUUAUUUUAAGCUCAAUUUCUGAGGUAUGAAAGUUCCACCCAACGACCCUCUGUGAGAUUGACUUCCCUGUGAAUCGGUUCCCAUCCGCGACCGUGGGUGCUUUAAGAUCAUACUUUCAGGGAUCAUUUCUAUAGAUUUUGACUUGAGAAAUAUCGUACGAAAGUGAUCGGUUACUCUAACCACGAUGAAGAGUAUUGAUGUUCCCUUCUGAGCGCGAAGCGGGUAGCGAGUAAUGAUUGAUUUCAUCCGCUCGUUGUCAUUGAUGACCGUUCCUUGCUCCCUCGUGGAGCCUGGAGUUCAACACUAAGAUCAUACUUUCAGGGAUCAUUUCUAUAGUUUUUGACUUGAGAAAUAUCGUACGAAAGUGAUCGGUUACUCUAACCACGAUGAAGAGUAUUGAUGUUCCCUUCUGAGCGCGAAGCGGGUAGCGAGUAAUGAUUAAUUUCAUCCGCUCGUUGUCAUUGA